rnacentral:rRNA from 1 species
AACGAACGCUGGCGGCAGGCCUAACACAUGCAAGUCGAACGAGAAGCUAUCUUCGGAUAGUGGACAGUGGCGCACGGGUGCGUAACGCGUGGGAAUAUGCCCUUAGGUACGGGACAACAGUUGGAAACGACUGCUAAUACCGUAUAAAGUCUUUGGACCAAAGAUUUAUCGCCUAAGGAUUAGCCCGCGUCGGAUUAGCUAGUUGGUGAGGUAAUGGCUCACCAAGGCAACGAUCCGUAGCUGGUCUGAGAGGAUGAUCAGCCACACUGGGACUGAGACACGGCCCAG